rnacentral:lncRNA from 1 species
ACGCUACUCAACGUGAAAAGGAGCACGUUUGAUUGAUAGUUUCUCUGUGUGUGUCUGUGUGUGUGCGCCUAUACACACAACUCUCUGUAGUUGCAUGUAUAUGUGUUUGGCAAAACCGGGCAUCUCCGGCAGUCCUUAUCUCAAGAAAUGUGAGACAAACAUCCAUCCCUUUAAUCAUGUUCAUCUUUGAUCACCGGCGAGGGUGACAUAGUCCACAAAAUUAACAAAGAAACUCCCUUGCUUUUGAGGAAUAGCUACAUGUACAUUUGGGUCUGCACACACGUGCACCACGGGCACACGGACACACGGACACGCAGGCAUCCACCCCGACUCCCAGCAAGGAAAUUAUUGCAUAACUUUCCCUGUAAUUGAUACCAGACACCUUUAAUUUUUCAUUUUCAUUCUUUGGGCCGGCUUUCACAUUAACAAUCUAAGCCGUAAAUGUUGGUGGCUAUUGAUCGCAGUCCCCUGUGUGCGUGCAAAUCCAUUUUCAAGUCCCCUGCCUGCUCAGGAGCGGGAGAGGCCCCUUGCACACGCAUAUGUGUGUGUGCUUGUGCAAGGGGCCUCGUCGGCUCCUGAGCAGGAUCUGCCCCCAGCCUGCUUGAAGACGACCCCGGAUACACAACGUGUGCUCAUGGCCAAGGGAAAGCACGCACACACACACACACACAAAAAAGCCACAAACGAUGGAGAAGUAGAGAAACAGAGGUCUCCGUACGAGAUGCGGAGCAAGAUCCGCAGCCCAAAGUGUGUCCUCGGCAGACGCCAGGGUGGCUCUCCCACGGGCGAGGAAGAGGAAGGCGAGGCUGGGGGAUCCCAAGGCAAGGCGAGGGAAGGCGAACUCCGCGGAUGGUCUUGGCUGCGCCGAGGCAUUGUUCGCUGCUGCCUCUCGGUUACGUUUAAAGGCUGAAAUAUCACGAGAUCCACUCAAUGAUCCUUUUCUAAUUCGAGGGACAAAAUGUAAUUUGCCGUAGCUCUGCUUCCUCGGAUGGGAAGGCUAUCCCCGGGUUCCAAAGGGAAGAGCUAGGCACCGCGGUUCGCACACACAUGGAUUAAGUUGAACAGCGGCGGCUACAUCUGCACUGGGAGCAACAGUAGUCCAGGGCUGACUUUUCAAAUCUCAGCCCUCCGAGUUAGAGGCUCCCUUGAAUAGACUUCCUCCAUUCCCGGAUGCACUUCUCCAAAUUCCCACUUCUCUCUAGAAUUCCAGCGAAACUGGGGGCUCGCCUGUAUUUCGCUUUGACGUGCAAACCCGCGGUUUUUACAGAGUGAUUAUGCGCUUUCUUUUAGCUCUACCUGACGGGGUAACACGAACUCCACGCACCAUCUUGCCAAUACACGGAGUGGAUAUUGACGUUUGGGAUUGAAGAUUUUUUUUUUUUUAAUUAUAUUAUUAUUAUUUUCUUCGUCGAUUUUUUUCCCCCUCCAAGUCCCAGAAAUAUGAGCUGUCUCAUUCAUCUCUCGGAUAUGUGUCUUUCUGGAUGUGCGGCGAUACCCAAACGUGCUCGUGUUCGUACCCAGCGGAGCACUGGAGGCACGGCGGAGGUUGGCGAUUUCUUUUUUCGCGGCGCCUAACGUGCAACCCGGGAGGAGCAUCCACACACACACACCCCCCCCCGGUGCCACGGGAGAGGCGUGCGGCCAUCGCGACAUUGGCGAACCCCCCCGGUCCUGACACUCGACUCGUUUCACGUCCCUAAGAAGAGGUUAAACCUCCAUGCUGCUUCUUCAAAUUGAUUUUAAGGGGCUGCUCUCAAUGGAACAUCAAAAAGCUGCGGCAGGGCUACUCCGGGCGGAAUAUGCGAGCUGCGAGGCAGCAGCAUCCUAGCCCCUCGCAAUACCCUACAUUGUGUGUGCCAGCACUUUUUUGUUAUUACGUAAAGGCUCCUGGAAGCACCUUGGAUAUUUUGCAUUCUCCUUUCUCUGCUGGAAGCAAUCAGCACGCAGGAAUCCUGACGUGGGCUUCGGGACGAUAGGACAUUCCAGCUCGGGAUCCAGCCCGGUUAAUCGUGAAAAGUGUAUACAUUUCUGGCUUAUCUAUGCUUUGUUAUGGGUCUGACGUGAGCCCACGUCCUCCUCCCCCCUCCCGCAAUAUUACAGGCAGAAUUUCAGCUAAAAGUGUUACAGUCUCACGGUGCGGGAACCCGUGAUAUUCAGACAGCAAAAUAACCUUAGUCCCAGCCUGUAAAAAAAAAAAAAAAAAAAAAGCUAAUUAAGCCGAAGAGGAAAAUCAAGAGAAACUCGAAAAUGUAAGUAUUCCCUCUCGCUAACAGCCGAGCAUUUAACUUUGGAGCCUCAACAAGGGAAAUACCGGGCUGCUCGGCACGUUUUCGCUAAGCUUCGUUCUCCACACAAUGCAGAAUAAAACGCUGGUUUAAAGCGGCCACGUUACCGAAGGAUUUUCCACCGCUACUGGCAGACUUACGUCCUUUAAAAUCACGGCAUGCACAAAAGAGCAACGUUUGUCCAAAAUAGGCUAAAAAUACACGGAACGAGAGGGGGGAAAAGCGUACAAAUCCUUCCUCGGAAGCUAGCGACAAGGAAGUCGGAGAGGUCUGAGUGUGUUUGAGCUCGGAUUGUUUAAUAGAAAGAUUUAUAUACUAACUGUAUUAUUUACUUUGGGAGGGGAGGUGGCAGUAUAAGGGUAUGCUAAUUAGUGGGAGAUUUUUUGGGGGAAGGGGUGGAAUAUCAAUUUUUAUUGCAUCACCUGUCAGGAGUGUCCAAUCAGCGUUGGCUUUAGGGGAAUUAAUUGAUGAAGGUGUCUCCGGACGAGCUCACUUCACUCUGUCAUUUUAUUUGUAGCUAAAGCAGCGGCGGGAAUAGCAGCUGCAUUUCUUUUCUCUUCCUCCCUUCACAUUCCAUUAUCAUAGUUUCCAAUGGAAAAGCAGGGAAUGAAAGGGAACAGGUACUGAUCUUCAACAGCAACUUAGAGAAACACUUUGGCAAACCUGAUUUUUAAGAUUAUCUAUUGAUUGUAGCCUCACGGUAUUUUUAUUUUUUUAUUUAUUUUUUUUUCAAUUUUGUCUAAAGUUUGGCACUUCAUUCACCAGGAAUAACAGCCUUUGUUAUAUUUUAUUAGCAGGAUGCCUUGAGACAAAUACAGCAUCUGGCUGAGGAUUGUGUGUGUGUGGCUUUUUCUUUUUUUUUUUUGGUCCUUUUUUUUUUUCCUUUUUUUUUUUUUUUUCCUCCACCUCUCUCUCACUCUCUGCAAAUGCUG